GGGGCGGUCUCCUCCCAAAGCGUAACGGAGGAGCACGAAGGUUAGCUAAUCCUGGUCGGACAUCAGGAGGUUAGUGCAAUGGCAUAAGCUAGCUUGACUGCGAGCGUGACGGCGCGAGCAGGUGCGAAAGCAGGUCAUAGUGAUCCGGUGGUUCUGAAUGGAAGGGCCAUCGCUCAACGGAUAAAAGGUACUCCGGGGAUAACAGGCUGAUACCGCCCAAGAGUUCAUAU
rnacentral:rRNA from 1 species